GAUGAACGCUGGCGGCGUGCCUAAUACAUGCAAGUCGAGCGAACAGACGAGGAGCUUGCUCCUCUGACGUUAGCGGCGGACGGGUGAGUAACACGUGGAUAACCUACCUAUAUGACUGGGAUAACUUCGGGAAACCGGAUCUAAUACCGGAUAAUAUAUUGAACCGCAUGGUUCAAUAGUGAAAGACGGUUUUGCUUUCACUUAUAGAUGGAUCCGCGCCGCAUUAGCUAGUUGGUAAGGUAACGGCUUACCAAGGCAACGAUGCGUAGCCGACCUGAGAGGGUGAUCGGCCACACUGGAACUGAGACACGGUCCAGACUCCUACGGGAGGCAGCAGUAGGGAAUCUUCCGCAAUGGGCGAAAGCCUGACGGAGCAACGCCGCGUGAGUGAUGAAGGUCUUCGGAUCGUAAAACUCUGUUAUUAGGGAAGAACAAAUGUGUAAGUAACUAUGCACGUCUUGACGGUACCUAAUCAGAAAGCCACGGCUAACUACGUG
rnacentral:rRNA from 1 species